rnacentral:rRNA from 1 species
GUCUACGACAUAGCAUUAAUCCAAUGGAUAUCAUUAUAACUCUCCAAUUAAGUGUGCCUAGGCUAGAUUAGUACUGGAAAGGGUGACUUCUUGAGAAGUCCUAAUGUUUUACAUU